UAUGUGGCUCAGUCAGGAGGGCAUGAGACUCUUAAUCUCAGGUUUGUGGGUUCGAACCCCACGUUGGGCAAAA